rnacentral:rRNA from 1 species
AUAUACCGGUUCUCGUUAGAUCACCGAAGUCAAGCAUCAUUGGGCACGGUCAGUACUUGGGUGGGUGACCACUUGGGAACACCGCGUGCCGUU